AGAGUUUGAUCCUGGCUCAGAUUGAACGCUGGCGGCAUGCUUUACACAUGCAAGUCGAACGGCAGCACGGGGGCAACCCUGGUGGCGAGUGGCGAACGGGUGAGUAAUAUAUCGGAACAUGUCCGGAAGUGGGGGAUAACGUACCGAAAGGUACGCUAAUACCGCAUAUGCCCUGAGGGGGAAAGGAGGGGAUCGCAAGACCUUUCGCUUUCGGAGUGGCCGAUAUCGGAUUAGCUAGUUGGUGAGGUAAAGGCUCACCAAGGCGACGAUCCGUAGCUGGUCUGAGAGGACGACCAGCCACACUGGAACUGAGACACGGCCCAUACUCCUACGGGAGGCAGCAGUGGGGAAUUUUGUGCAAUGGGCGAAAGCCUGACACAGCGACACCGCGUGAGCGAAGAAGCCCUUUGGGGUGUAAAGCUCUGUCAGCUGGAACGAAA
rnacentral:rRNA from 1 species